rnacentral:ncRNA from 2 species
CUCUUAUCCCGAGCUGGUGGAGGGACAGGCCCGAUGAAACCCAGCAACCGGCAUUCUAUGUUAGAAUUUUUUAGUUAGAUCAUAACCGAUGUUUAUCGAUUGUGUAAUCUAAUUUUAAGAUUUUCUAAACUAGAAAGCAAUGGUGCUAACCUGACGCAAGGGAAUACCUUGAACGAUAAGAG